UCUGUGGUGUCACAGCUCUCCUGCUGCACUGUGGUGUGGGGAGGUGCUGGUAGUUCUGCUGCAGAUGCUGGAGAGAUGGUUGCAUCCCUUUUAAAGACCCACUGGAAGCAGAUGAUGACUACAGGCUAACAGGAAGCUUUUCAAAGGCAGGUGCUUGCUGCCCAGGGCAUGAAGCAGGCUAAUUUUCACUGAAGGCUUCACUGAUGCUCACAGUGAACAAAAGUUCAGUUAGGAGGAGGCUUUCCUUCAUAUGUAAGAAAUUGGUUGCUUUUAAAAUUGAA